UGUGCACACCCUCUCUUCUUAGUUCUCACAUUCACCUGUGCACCUCUUGUAGACCCGAGACAACUUAUCGAGGAACUCGGAUGUGAGGGUUGCGGGCUUCCUCAGAAGUCGGCUUCCCUCUACUGACUCGCGUGUCUAUGUCUUUACAAACCCUUUAUAAAAAAUGUUAACAGAAUGUCAUACAACGGUUCGCCCUAAAAAAGUGAGCUUUAAAUUAAUACAACUUUCAACAACGGAUCUCUUGGCUCUCGCAUCGAUGAAGAACGCAGCGAAAUGCGAUAAGUAAUGUGAAUUGCAGAAUUCAGUGAAUCAUCGAAUCUUUGAACGCACCUUGCGCUCCUUGGUAUUCCGAGGAGCAUGCCUGUUUGAGUGUCAUUAAAUUCUCAACCUUCCUUGUCUUUAUUGAUGAGGUAGUGCUUGGACGUGGGGGUUGCGGGCUUCCUCAGAAGUCGGCUCUCCUUAAAUGCAUUAGCGGAACCUUUGUGGACCGUCUAUUGGUGUGAUAAUUAUCUACGCCAUCGACGCGGACGCUGUUAUAUGGGGUUCAGCUCUCUAACCAUCUCGCAAGAGAUAACAAC
rnacentral:rRNA from 1 species